rnacentral:lncRNA from 1 species
CACUUAAUGUCAUAACAAGUCCAAAACUCAUACUUAGUCUCAUCCACCUCCAAUUUCAACCCUGCCCAAUCAUACACAUCCCUCACAUUCCCAAACCCUCCCAUCCCCACAAGCCCUAAAACCUCUGAAGUCUUCAAUUGAGUCGAUCCUCUGGUGUUUUAGGAGUCUAAGGUUUAUCCAUAUUUGUACGUAAUUAUAAUUCCCUUAAGGUUGCAUUAGCAUCCAUGGCGCCUGAUUUGAAAGAGAGUAGAGAUCUCGAUCUCACACUAACAGUUCUGCUCCGAGCUUCUCUUAUCAGGGUUUAAGAAUGGUGAACAAGUAGCAUCCGUUUUACGCCUUUACCAAACGCACGAAAUGCUUCGUGUUCUUAUGAAUGACAUCAACCAACUUGAAUGAUGUCAAUCGUGUUUUUAUGCCUUGGCUAAAAUUGUUGUUCAUAUACUGAAAAUGCAAGCAGUUUUGGAGGCUUGGAGCAUUCAAUUUCUUGGUAUUUUCUUAUCAACCAAAUGAUAAAAAGCCAUCUGAGUUUGUGUUUUUCGUCAUGGUUUGUGAAAUAUGUUGGUUUAGGGUGUUGAUUCGUCUGACAUAAAACAAAAAAAUAACACGAGACAAACUCUGAAUUAAUUAACAGGACGAAUUAGCAAUAUACUCCAUGAGAAAGCAUAUAUAGGUUUGUGGUGAUUUAAUCAUAAGAAUAUGGAACAUCUGAAUCUUCUUGUAAAUGUGAACUCUUGAUUUUGAAGAUUUGUUGUCACUUGUGUGAUGUUGAAAUGGUGUGUGUGAUUACUGAUUUUGUUGCGGUCCUCUGAACGAAAAUGCUAGCACAGUCGGCCCCGGUAUUUCUGCUCAUGCUUUACAAUCUAGGCAUGUUCUCACCAUAUGAAGCCGUUGUCAUAUACACAAUAGAUGUCGAAUUAGAAAAUCCUAAAACACAAUUAGGUUUAUUCUUUACUAAACGUAUACAUGCAUUUCAUCAUUUCAAAACGUAUACAUGCAUUAAUUCAUUUCAUAACGUAUACAUGCAUUUUAGUGCAUACCAAAACAAGGACCCUGCACCAUAACUCCCAAUUAACUUGUAUCUUUAUGUGCGAUAUGCAAGUCAAACCUUAUUUUGAACCUUGGUCAGUUACCCUCAUUUGUGAAGCUUAUAUAUAUAGUUCGCAUUGUCUUCCUCCAAUUCCCACACCAAGUAUUCGUUACUCCAAGUCUGAAAAGAGCUAGCUAGUCUAAUCUCCAAAUAGAGCCAUGACAAUCAUGAAAAUGGAAGCACUAUCUUCGUUGCUACUAGUGUCACUGCUCAUCGCCUUGUUAGCCCAAUCGAGGAUGGCAAAUGCGCAGUUGCUGCCGAGUCCUCCUUCCCUUCCAGGAGGCCUAUUUCCACCAGGAACUGCACCGGAUGUGCUCAAGUGUUGGUCAUCUCUUACCGGCGUCAACGGAUGUGUUAUGGGAAUAUUGCAAUCCGUUGCCAGCCUGCAAUUCGCAAGCAUUAGUGUUGACUGUUGCAAGGCCUUCGUUGCCAUUGAGGACAGCUGUUUGCCCAAAAUGUUUCCUCUCACUCCUUUCUUCCCUCCCUUGCUCAAGAACAUUUGUGCUCGCCAAGGAGCUCCUGCGCCCCCAGCAAAAUUCUAGGUCAAUUAAGGUGUGAUGAGUUGUAUGAUCACGAUGAAUAAAAACUCGUUCAACCUUGAUCUAUAUCAGUCAAAUACGUUUUAGUUUCCGAUCAAGAUUCUUGUUCUAGCAGUUAAUAUAUAUGAUUUGAGACAGCCAGGGUUUUGAUUUCAUUUCGAUCGGGAUAACAUUUUGAACUACCUUACUGAAGAUUCAAGAUCGUUUUAUGUAUCCUUUAAGUUUCUAUAGAUCGAGAACAAUAUCCAUCAAGCAAAUUUGAGCAUCAUAUCAAUUCAAGAUUCAAGAUUCUAAAAUCCUAUCGUGUAUAUUUGUGAAUUGUCCUCAACAAAAGAACUUUAUUACCAUGCAACGUACCUGGUACCUCCUAAUUACCAAGCAUGGUUAUGUUUCUUAAUCAAAUCACUCUGUUCAACGGCAUUGGACCACCAUAACUCCUAAUUAACUUAAAUCUUUAUAUGCAAUAUGCAUGUCAAAACCUCAAAACCUUGUUAUCGUCUCACUAUGAACUGUUAUUAAUUGUCAAUUUGCUACCCUAACUUUCACCUUAGUGUCAAUUUGCUACCAUAGCUUUCAUUUCAGCCAAUGUGCUACCCUAACUUUUCUAAAUUAGUCAAUUUACUACCCUAAAUUUUAUUUCAGCCCAUUUGCUGCCUUUUCCAUCAAAUUUGCUAUUUUAGAGUUUUAAGAUUAACCGAUUUACUUAUCGAAAUUUUAAUAUCGACCAACUUUAAGUUUCGAUUUUCAGAAAUAAUUCAUGUUUGGAUGAAGAAAUAAAUAAAUUAAAAUGACAAAAAUGUAGCAAAUUGGCUAAUUUUGAAAACAUAAGGUAGCAAAUCGGCAGAAAUAAUACCUAAGGUAGCAAAUUGGCUGAAAUGAAAACUAGGGUAGCAAAUUGACAUCAAGGUAAAAGCUAGGGUAGCAAUUUGGCUAAAAAGCCUUAUUAAAAUCGACGUGCGCAUGGAGUUUUUAAACUAUUUUUUAAAUUGACAAGUCUUUAAGAAAAACGAAUCAGAUUUAAAUCUUUUAGGUCUGUCAACUUCAUACCCACUUUCAUCCAUGGUUUAGUAUUGGUUAUUAGUGAGACGAUAACAAAAACUUCGACGUGCGAGUUUUUGAACUAUUAUUAAAAAUCGACGUGUGAGUUUUUGAAUUAUUUUGAAAAUCGACAAGUCUUUAAGAAAAACAAAUCAGAUUGAAAUCUUUUAGGUCUGUCAACUUCAUAGCCACUUUCAUUCAUUGUUUAUUACUGAUUAUUAGUGAGAAGAUAACAAAAGCCUCGACGUGCGAGUUUUUGAACUAUUAUUAAAAUCGAUGGUUGAGUUUUUAAACUAUUUUGAAAAUCGACAAGUCUUUAAGAAAAACAAAUCAUAUAGAGAUCUUUUAGGUCUGCCAACUUCAUAACCAAAUUCAUCCAUGGCUUAUUACUGGUUAUUAAGGAGACGAUAAAAAGAAUACCUCAAAAAACACUCAAUAUUUGAGUUUUUGAACUAUAUAUUUUUAAAAUAGACAACUCUUUAAGAAAAACAAAUAAGAUUGAGAUCUUUUAGGUUUGCCAACUUCGAAGUACUCUCAUCCAUGGUUUAUUAUGUACCGAUAUGACCGGAACGUAUUUAGCCUCAGUAAAAUAUGAUAUCUUCACUCGAAACAUUUCCGCCUCUGAUGAGACCUCGAUAUUCGCCGAACGAAGGUCACGAAUCUAGGCAUGGGAGUUGUUGAAGGCUACGGUCUUUUGAUCGAUGAUUAGGUCAUUUUAUGAAGAGAAGCGCAUUGGUAAAUCAAUUACUAAAAUGGAGGGCGAUGCUGUGAUGUUUGUGCUUGUGGUGGAGAGCUAUUGUGUAUAUCAUGAAUUGAUUGCAGAACUUUCAUAAUACAUAUAAUUGUUUAAUUAUGACAGGCAAAAGGAUGCUUGAUGCGAAACUGAGUCGGUUUCUCAACAAUUGUUUAAUCAUAAUUGACAAACCGUCUCAGUUUCGCAUCAGGCAUCCAUUUGUCUGUCAUAAUUAAACAACCAUAUGUAUUAUGGAAGUUUUAUGCAACCAAUUCAUGAUAUACGCAGUAGUCUCCACCACAAGCACAAACAUCAUGCCACGGCCUUUCAUAUUACUAAUUGAUUUUACAUCAUAUGGAACAUGGCGUCUAGUUUUUAUGUAGAAUUUAGGAUCAACUUCCCAGUUACAAUCCUCGGUUGUUAUGCCGUGGGUUGUAUAUUUUAGAGGGCCAAUCACUACGGACACAUCAUCUGAAUGGAUAUUCAUGCUUUCUCGAUCGGCAGCUAACUUGCAACAUAGAUGCUUUAUACUGGUUUUUGUAGAUGUUCUUAUGCAGGUAAUACAAACCUCGAAGGGUCUUGCUCUUGUUCCGCUCUAUCAUAUCUGCAACAGUAUCGGUAACAUAACUGUAGGCUACCUUUGUUUCUUCAUUAGGCUUGUAAAGUUUGCAUGGUUUUUUUUAGAGUAAUACACCUAAAAACUAUGUCUCUAAGGUCCUAUUUAUAGACUCACAAUUAGUCCAAAUUACAAUAGGAUUUAGAACCAUAGCAUGAAUCCUAAACCAUUACUUCUAAAGUUAAACUCUAAGAAUCUUAGAUACACUAGAAUAACUUACCCAAAGCCUUUAGAAGUAAAGAAUCCAAAACAGACAAUGAAUCAGUUUUGAGUCGCAACCCUAAUAAUAUGUAUAGGUAUUCUUACUUCUCUUAAGAGUACCUACAUUAGGUUUAAGACCAGUCAAAGAUACUCUCCUAAAUCGAAUCAGGAAGAUUUCUCCUUUGUCUCUUCUCUUUUGGUCAAAUAUUAUUUAUGUCACGCCUCGAAUCUUAAUUUUUACCUUUAUUACUGGCAUAGUGAUAACAAGAGUUUUUACCGUGUUCGUCACUAAGUGUGUAAUUUAAUUAGUUCCCAGAGGGUGUUGAGGGACUAAUAUUUUGAGGGAAUUAUUUUAAGGAAGAAAUUUUUACGACGGUAAAAAAAAUAGUAAUUUUUGUUAGUAAAAGGUAAUUUUAUUGGGGUAUGAUUUCGGGGUGUUGAAUUUUGGAAUUUUGGGUUAAAAGGAGUGUUGGGUCGGCUGGGCCGAGCCCAACCCAUUUCUUCUUCUUUUCUUUUUCUCUCUCCCUCCCGAUUUUUCUCUCUUCUCACCCGGUUUUCCCCUCUCUACACCCAGAAAAGUUUCCGGCCGCCGUCCGGCCUCCGUUCGCCGCCGGACCGGUCCCGUUCGGUCGGUCUCCCUCCCAGCAACAUUUCUAGACCGGUGGAAGCCUCCCUAGCGCCGUCGUGAGGGAGAAACGCCGCCCGAAAGCUCCGACUNNNNNNNNNNNNNNNNNNNNGAAAGCUCCGACUGCCGAAUCGGUUUUCUCGCCGGAACUUCCUCCUCCGGCCACCAAUCCGGGCAAGCUUGGUACGGUUUUGUAGCCCUCCUCCCGUGCAACAACCCCUCCAAGCAGCUCCCUCCCUCUUGAGCUAGGUAAGGAGAAAUGUGGAGUUGAAAUUUCUAGGCUUUUAAGUUAUUUUCGUUCGAUUAGCCUAGUUAGGCUUGGAAUUGGGUGAUGUGUUAGUCAUGAAAGUUGUAGAGGAGAUUGAGAGGAAGAUUCUGUUAAAAUUUGGUAGCAUUUGCAGGUCGCCGGAAAACGGCUGCCGGCCGCCGCUACCGGCGGAGCCGCCGGCGGCGCCGCCGCCGGUUAGGAGAUUUUUAGGGUUUUAAAUGUGGAAUAUUAAGAGGAGUAUAUUGGUGUGAUUUAUGGAAUUUUUGGAUGAAAUUUGGAUAGGUUUGUGAAUUUCCGAAGUUAGGUAUUUUUGGCGGUUAAUUAAUGUAGAAUCCGGCCGUAGGAUUUAAGUAGUAUUUUAGAGAGGUUGUAUUUACGGCUGUUGAGUAUGAUAUUUAAGUUCGGAUCGUUCUGAUUUAAGAAUAUCGAAGUUAGGCAAUGAUGAGCGUAUUUAUGGCUCUCGUGUAAUUUUGCCUAUUUUGUUUAAAUAUGGGAUUAUUGGUUGGGAAAUUAAUAUUUUAUUUGGAACAGGACGUGAGGAGACUCGAGCAGGCGAGACCCCAGAUCGACAGCAGGCUUAGGCCUAAUUUGUGAGUGGACUUUUAUUUUAAAUAAAUGCAUGCUAUGGUUCAUGAUUGAAUAUUUAAUGUCGUGGAGUAUUUUGACGAUUUUUAUUUCUCUUGGAGAAAGUUACCGAAAAUGGGAUUUUCGGUGAAUAUAAAUAUGUAUAUAUGAGAGAGUAUGUAUAGAAAAUGCUAGCUAGCCAUAUGUGUCUGUCCACCUUAAUGGCGUAGCAUAUAGCCGCAUUAUGGUGUGACGUGAGACGUUGGACGUAAGCGUAGUAGCCUAUUGAAUGUUAAUUCAAUAUAGGGGGUAUGGACACAUAUUUAUACACCCGUCUGUCCACCUUGAUGGCGUAGUGUAGCACCGCAUUAAGGCGUGACGUGAGCGUUGGACGCGAGCGUAGUAGCCCUAUAUAGACCCAUGAAUUUAUAUAGGGAGUAUGGACGAGUGUAAAUACAUACAUAUAUUAUAGAGUCUGAGAGGCUCGAUAUUUUAUGGGAUAAAAGUUUUAUCGCUUGCGGCAUGCAUUCGAUUUUUCCUUAGAAAUUAAUUUGGGGAAACAUAAAUAUUUUAUUUUUGUCCACUCACUCUAACGUUAUUAAAUGUUUUCCCCUGGGCCCUUCGUUUUAAAUUGCCCAGUCUGCAGAGUUCGGGUUGGAUCUAGUAGGAGACGAGGCAUAGUCACCCGCAUUUCUGCCAGUUUUCGCCAGUAGGUUACCUGUUCAACCUACUCGUGUUUUUCUUGCUUCCGCUUGUGUUUAGUAGCUCUGAAUACUUUAGAAUUUUUGUAUAUUAUGUGUUAAAUUAAGAGUAUAAUAUUAAUUUUCGAGUUAGGGUUGUCCAUCUGCAAGGGAGAUUUUCUCAAUCUUUUCAGUAAAUUUUCCUUGGAGGUGGUCCCCGCACGACUUACUCUGGGUUUCAGGGUGAAAUUCGGGGUGGGUCGUGUCAAUUUACAUGGGGUCAGAAGUAAAAACACUUUGUUCAAACAAUGGUUAAGGCGGGGGAUGAUGAUGGCUUGCCAAUGAAGUAAAGUUUGGCCAGACCUAAAGAAGUAUGGUGGAAAGUGAGCAUACCAAGAGAGGCUUGGCUUUACCUAAAGAGUUUAAGUCAAGGAUUUCAGAGAAUAGUGAAGCUUUCAUGAAUCUUGAUCGGAAUGUAUUGGUAUUGUAUUGUUCCAAAGAUAAGAGAUUUAAAGUUGUUGUUUGACUCAUGAGCAUGUUAGAUUUGAUGCAAUUUCAUUUGAUCACUCACUUCCUGGAAUGAUGUGAAUUUUUGACGCAAGACUGACACUAGUGUAGUGCUUCAUUUCUAAAAGCUAGGGUUAUGGUUUGGUUGUGUGGUGAGUUGUAGAGGGUUAAAGGGGUGUGGCGGUGUCUUUUAGAGUUAAUAAAACAUGAUUUUUAAACAAUCCUUAGAAGAAAAAUCCUUAAAAAUCUCGACCCGUGAGCUUUUGUUAAGUUUGACAUGCUAUUAAGAAAAACAAAUCAGAUUGAGAUCUUUUGGGUCUGUCAACUUCAUGGUCACUUUCAUCCAUGGUUUAUUACUGGUUAUUAGUGAGACGAUAAAAAAAAACCUCUUUUUGAACUAUUAUUAAAAUCGACGUGCGAGUUUUUGAACUAUUUUUUAAAUCGACAAGUCUUUAAGAAAAACAAAUUAGAUUGAGAUCGUUUAGGUCUGUCAACUUCAUAGCCACUUUCAUCCAUGGUUUAUUACUGGUUAUUAGUGAGACGAUAAAAAUAAACCUCUUUUUGAACUAUUAUUAAAACGACGUAUGAGUUUUUGAAGUAUUUUUUAAAUCGACAAGUCUUUAAGAAAAACAAAUCAAAUUGAGAUCUUUUAGGUUUGUCAACUUCAUAGCACUUUCAUCCAUUGUUUAUUACUAGUUAUUAGUGAGACGAUAACAAAAAAACUUGACGUGCGAGUUUUUGAACUAUUAUUAAAAUCGACGUGCGAGUUUUUAAACUAUUUUUAAAAUCAACAAAUCUUUAAGAAAAACAAAUCAUAUAGAGAUCUUUUAGGUCUGCCAACUUCGUAACCAAAUUCAUUCAUGGUUUAUUACUGGUUAUUAGGGAGACGAUAACAAAAACUUCGACGUGCGAGUUUUUGAACUAUUUUGAAAAUCUAUAAGUCUUUAAGAAAAACAAAUCAAAUUGAGAUCUUUUUGGUCUGUCAACUUUCAUAGCCACUUUCAUCCAUGCUUUAUUAUUGGUUAUUAGUAAGACUUUGACGUACGAGUUUUUAAAUUAUUUCUAAAAUCAACAAGUCUUUAAGAAAAAUAAAUCAGAUUAGACUACUCCAUAUUCUUUUGAACCGUUUUUUCCUAAAUGUGAGUUCAUUUUGGAUUAGACUACUCCACGGCGUGACACUAAGCAAGAAAACAUAGACAACAUAGACUCUUCGUAUACAACCAUUUGGCAAGUAUCACUCUCAAUCAUAUAGAUGCUUGUGUUCUCUUCUUCAUUGCGAUAAUAAAUGGCAAACAUGAGUUUCUCUUCUACUCGGUAUGCAUGCAUUCCUCACAAAUACAUUAUUUUCAUAACUGAAAUUACUGCAACCACUAGAGCAGGCUUGGCUGUCUAGGGAUCUUUACGCCGAAUAAUCUAGUGCAGGAAUCACUAAUGUCAUACUCAUGACCCACAACUCAACCACAUAACCACAAUCCUGCACCGGACUUUGGGCCAUUACAAACCUUCACAAGUAACACCAAAAUUGCAUAUGUAGAAUUUUUUCCCUUCUUUAUUUUAGAAGGAUAAAGCCAGAUUGUUCUUCAACCCGUUAUCAAUAAAGAUUGAUAUGUAGAUUACAUAGUAUAAUGGUUAGAUCUAAUUUGAGCUCAAAUAAUUGAGAUAAGUCCCUAGACCGAUUAUGAGUCUUUUUUGCACAAGAGCUUGAUUCGAUUGAUUAUGCGAGUGUAGCAUUCUUCUUAUGAGGUGAACAUUUUCAUACUGUUUUUGAUUUGCUGACCUCUUUAUUUUCGGAUUUUAUGGCCGAUAUCUAGUCCAGGCAUUUAAUUCUUUGGUGAUUGAUUUCCCCAUGUUUAAUUUGAAUGGAAUGACUUAGAGCAAAAGUUCGAAGUUUGUAUGACAUUUCUUGUUGCUUAUAUUUUCCAAGUGUUAUAUGUUUUUGUUGUUUCAUAAGAUUGUACUAAAGACUGCUUAUUAUCAUCAUUAAUCAUCAACGAGAACUUUGAUAUGGGUGUGAUAUUACUCCUUGCAACCAAGUUGAUGUUUAUUCGCUGCAACAUAACGACUCACAUUGUAAUAUUUAGGUAGUUGCAUUACAAAUGGAUAAUCGUCAUUGUCCCAAUUCGAGAAAUUUUUCAGUGCUCCGGGAGGACCAUUGAGGACCACGUUAACAUGCCUAGUGGUCCUCCAUCACCAAUAGAAUGUCGCCACGUGGUAUUUUUUUAACAAGUCAUAUCAGGGAGAAAAAUUACUGCAUCAAAGUAAAAUGAAACAACCACAUUAAACAUAAAAAAAUAAAAUAAAAUAAAUAAAUAAAUAAAAAAACCUAGAUCUGCGUUGGCUGCUGUAGAAUCUUCAAUCUCUUCGAUCUCUUCUUGGUUCAAUAUUGUCAUUAUCCAUCAUGGAUUCAUGGCAUGUAAGUUCUGGCAUGACUCUCUAUAUACAUAUUGUUUGUUUUGAACUUUGGAUUCCUAAAGGAUAUCUCGCAUGCAAACUAGUGCAAGGAACUAGCUAGGGUUUUUGAUGGAUGCCUUGACCGGUUUCAAAUGGAAAACUAAGAGCAUGUAUGCCCAGAUAAUUAAAUGGCUAAUCCAAACUCAAAAUCAUCUGCAAUUGAACGAGAAUUUGCUCUGAAAGUAAGAACAAGACUCUGUCCAAAUUAAUCAUCUAUUAUUGCUUCUAUAGCAGGGUAGUAGGAACAAGAAUGAUGAUUUUACAAUUUAUAUCGAUAACAAAACAAACAGAUGAAAUCGAAUACUCUUAUAGAUUAUGCAGAGCCAACAGAGAUAUGUAUAUUUGAUGUUGUUUGGAUUUACUUAAGUUGUUUUAUCUUGUUAUGACUUGUUAAAAAAAUACCAAAAAUACCACGUGGCGACGUUCUAUUGGUGAUGGAGGACCACUAAGCAUGCUGACGUGGUCCUCCCGGAGCACUGAAAAAUUUCUCAUGAAAUAUGCAAGUUAAAACCUUAUUUUAAACCUUGGUCAGUUACUCUCAUUUGUGGAGCCUAUAUAUAGUUCGCAUUGUCUUCCUCCAGUUCCCACACCAAGUAUUCAGUAUUCCAAGUCUGAAACGAGCUAGCUAGUCUAAAAUCCCAAUAGAGCCAUGGCAAUGAAAAGGGAAGCAUUGUCUUCGUUGCUGCUAGUGACAUUACUGACCGCCUUGCUAGCUCAAUCGAGGAUAACAAAUGCGCAGUUGCUACCGAGUCCUCCUUCCGUUCCAGGGAGCCUAUUUCCACCAGGAACUGCGCCGGAUGUGCUCAAGUGUUGGUCAUCUCUUACCGGCGUCAGCGGAUGUGUUACAGAAAUCUUUCAAUCCGUUUUCACCCUGCAAUUCGGCAGGAUUAGUGCCAAUUGUUGUAAGGCCUUCCUUGCUGUUGAGGACAGCUGUUUGCCCAAAAUGUUUCCUCUCACUCCGUUCUUCCCUCCUUUGCUCAAGAACAUUUGUGCUCUCCCAGCAAGAAUCUAGGACAAGGUGUGAGUUGUACGAAUGUACGAUCACGAUGAAUAAAGAGUACUCAACCUUGAUCUAUAUCAGUCAAUUAAGUUUUAGUUUCUGAUGAAGAUUCUUGUUCGAGAAAUAUAUGAUCUGAGACAGCUAGGGUUAGAUUUCUUUUCGAUAUCCAGGAUUGUAACAUUUUGAACCGCUAAUAAAAAUUGGAGAUUCUAUGUGGUAAUAUAUAUCGAUCCUUUAGAUUUCUAUAGAUCGAUAACAAUAUCCAUCGAUCAAAUUAAGCAUCAUCAAUUCAAAAUUUUAAAAAUCCUAUCGUGUAUAUUCUCAACGAAUUUAUGUAUGGUGUAUGUUUCUUAAUCAAAUCACGAUGUCCUAAUAUUUUGUUAACAACGGAAUACAACCUCUUUCCAACUGAAUUGGACGAGAACGAGCAUGCCUGGGUUUUCCCUUCCCAUAACUAUUCCUUGAUCAUACACCAUUUUUUUUCAAUCUCAACCCAUCGUUCUCCUUGAUGGGGAUAACAAGGUCGAUCGGAUUCUCAUCUUUAUCUUUAUCAAAAAUCGAUACCUCAUCACUCAUGUCAUCUGUUUUUAUCAUCUUGAUUAAUGAUCAUUUCCCACGAGGGGCGUCGGUUUGAUCGAUCUGUUUACAAUGUGGGCUAAUUAAUCAUUUUAGAGGACCCUAGUUCUGUGAUCGGUGGAACCUCAGGCCUAAUUCGGAAAGAGAACGUCGGGUACGGUUCGCAUUUUAGAAACCCUAGCCUCCCCGUUCCGAGUGAGUCACUAUCAAUGAGGAGUUGAGGACCUUUUUGUAUCCCAAACUCAUAACAGUAACACGUUUGAUUCUUUCAUAAACAUACUUCUAGGUUAUGAGUCUCUUGCAAGUCGAACUCUUAAAAUCUCCCUGCUUACACGUUUGAUGCUUACACGUUUGAUUCUUUCGUAAAUGUACUUCUACGUUAUAAGUCUGUUGCGACACUGUUGCAUGCUUAUGCAUGCGCAUAUAUAAGAUGCUCUCCGAUACGUUUUGACUUGACCAAACCAAUGAAAAACCCAAUAAUUUCUUUCUAAAUAAAGGUUCGACGGCAUUGGACUACCAUAAUUACUCCUAAUUAACUUAUAUCCUUAUAUGAUAUAUCAUAUAUGCAUGUCAAACCUCAAAACCUUGUGUGGCCUAUAUAGUUUUUCACCGUCUUCCUCCAAUUCCCACACCAACUAUUCAGUCCAAGUCUGAAACGAGCUAGUUGUAGUCCCAUAUAUAUCUCAAUAGCCAUGGCAAUGAAAACUGUAGCAUUACCUUCCAUGUUACUAAUGGCACUACUCACCAACUUGCUAUCCCAACCAGCAAUCGCCAAUGUGGAGAAAUCGCCACAGAGUGCUCCUGCUUCAACAAUUCCAGGCCUAGCUGCUUCCACCGGGAACUUCGCAAGCUAGGUGCCCUCGAGUGUUGGGCAUCUCUAACCGGCAUUAGUGGAUGUGUUAUGGAAAUCUUUGCAUCUCUUUUCAGCUUGCAGUUCGGUAGCAUUAGUGCCGACUGUUGCAGAGCCUUCCUUUCUGUCGAGGAAAGUUGUUGGCCCAAAAUGUUUUCUCUCACUUCUUUCUUCCCUCCCUUGCUCAAGAGCAUUUGUGCUCUCCAAAUAGGUCAUGCGCCCCCAGCAUUCGCGUAACGAGUUGUAUCACAAUGAGUAGAGAAAGAAGAAAUCGUUAAUAAAGUAGUAAAGUUAUACUCUAGAUUCUUGUUAUUCUAGCAAUAACAAUAUCUGAGAGGGCUAGGCAGGAUUGUUAUCCCUAUUUUGAAAUUACUAAUAAAAAGUGGGAGAUUAUUUAUCUCUUGGACUUGUAUAGAUCAUGCUAUCAUGAUGAUCAUGAUUAGGUGGAAAGUGGCUCGAAAGAAGACGCUCCAAGCUCAAUGAAAAAUUUUGUAUACAAACACAAUUAAUAUUACUCGGAGGUAUCUUUUAUUUUUAUUUUUUAUUUUUAACUUUUUAUUAAAUAACUCACACACCUUACAUAUGUCAAUGAGGUAUCUUAAAGAAUGAUCCGACGGUGUGCAAGUCAUAGAUUUUCUAUAAUGAGGCUCCAUCACGUACACGUACACUAUUGGUAUAUAUUCUGUUACUUGGAAGACAUGCAUUUCUAACAAAUAUCAAAAUCACGGUUGUAAUUUGAAGCUUUUAUAUAUGUUACUGAUAAACUUUCAGCUGAUUCUCUAUUCAAUUCCUGCAGGUUGCUUCGGGUCGAAUCAAGCCAGAAAGAGAUUUGGGCAAAGUUACUACGACUAGUAAUUGGAAUAUUAUUUGCAGCUUGAUUAAGCUACCUAAAUUCGAGCAUAGAACACAUAUUGCUAGCUAAAUUAGCAAAAAGAAGAAGACGUACGCUUUUGUGUGUGGGCUUGCAAUUAGCCUACCAAAUAGUAAUAGGAAGGGCAUUCUUAUCUUUUUUCUGAACUUCUUUUACUUGUUCUUUCCUUUACUUAGACGAUCGAACCAAUUCGAAUUAGGCUACGUACUUCACUCCAUUCUGUUCUCAUGCAUUUGUAAUUUACUUGAUGACAUUGAUAAGGUAUAAUAUUCCAAUUGCAGGAUUGGACCUACCUGAAAAUCACACAAAAUUUUGGACAUCGAUCAUGGAAGAUUAUGCUGAUCAUGACCAACCUAAUCACAUGGAUCUUAUCCGGCCGAAACAAAACCUAAAUAAACCAAACUUGUGGUUCCAUUACUUCCAUAUCUUUAUUUUUAGACCAUAUAUUCAUAAUUUUCUGAAUUUGAACAGACAUUUGGCCUUGCACUCUGGUCUUGAUGGUAAAGUUUCAUGAAUGGUAGCUACUAUUGAAACAUUGAAAGAGUCCUGUUGCAGUCGCAGUACUACGUACAGAUACACCUAAAGAAGAUGGAUGUAUGUGAGUGUUUCACAAAACCAUGCAGCCAUGUAAAUAAGAGCGAUUCUUCUGAAAAAAAGAAGAAGUAAAUAAGAGAGAUGUGCUUAUAGCACAAAUCGGUCGGUUAGUCUAAUCAAAACCCUUGAUAUAGAGCUGCCAGCUGUGAUCGAUGGUGUAGUGGGUGAAAGCUGAAGUCCAAAAAUAUGGCUAGCAAAAGAUUAGGUUAAAGUUGUUUCGUAUCAAAUAAAAGAUCGGGUUAGCUUAAGGUGGUUCUGCAUGUUUUGGGUGAAAACUGACCUGAUCCCAUUGAAUUCAAGCUAGCUAGUGUAGGUAGAGCAAAUGCUUCAAAUCUCAGACUAGGGCAGCAAAAUAAUAGUUGCAAUUGGACCCAAAUUUCUGAAGGUGGUUGAGUUCUAGGUUGUGUGAUGCAUGGAAGUCUGGGGAGAAUGAGACAGUCUUAUUUUACACUCAAUUUGUUCUGGAUCAAGCCACAUGCACAUAAAUGUAGACACUCCAUUAACUCAACAAGCUUGAAUAUUGGUACUUUGGUUUGGUAGACUGUAACAUCGAUCAUUGAUUCUAAUAUUCUUGCUUACUGCUCACUGCAGAAGAGACAUGAUAUAUGGUAUUAUCAUCUUGGGCAUUAUAUAGUUCGUUUUUGUUAUUCCAAUAUAUGCUGUCAUGAAAAUGAGCUAUUUUUGUUGGAGAAAACAAAAGGGUAAAAUAUAAAAAGAUGGAAACAGAGUCCCCAAUGAGAAUUUGUGUUGUAUGAAUUAAUUAGUAACAAAUUAGUAUUCAAACACUAUAAUCUCAUCAUGCCUUCCAUUGGUUACCAUUCUAUACUUCUUUGCUUUUGAGUCACAAAAUAAUGUCCAAGACCAUUUACCCUUUCUGGGUAGGAGAAAAAGGGGCCAACUUUCAAUAAUUUAUUCAGGUGGAUCACCUUGAAUCACUAUGUUCAACUUGUUAUUCCAAACUAUGGAAGCAAAUGAGAGACUUACAGAUCAACAAGGCUAGAAAUACAGCUAAAAUGUACUUCCUUUGUACAAAAAUAGAAAUGUGAAAGUCCCUAUUAUUAUGGGAAAUUCAGACAGGCAUGCAUUAUUACCAUGUCAAAUAGAUUUUCAAGACAGCAUUUUAUACUCGAGCUCAGGUUUUUCUACCCUUGUCCUAGCGAAGUGCACGUCUUAGAUUCCAAAACCAAGGCCAAAUGGGUGGCUGGGCGCCGCUCUCAGACAGUGAAACCAGGGUGUUAUUCAACUCAAAUUCAUUUGGUCCCAAACCAAAAGCAAAACCUACUUGAAAAGAUUUGAUACAGUUGCAACCCACCUCAUAUUAUUCCAACCCCAGCUACAAAAUUCAAUGCUUUUUCAAAUUUAGAGAAGAGAAAUUAACAGUCAAUUUGAAUAAAUAAUACCCAAAGUUGUCAAAAGAUAGGACCUUUGUCAUUUUUUCUCCCAAGCAUCACAUGUCUUGUUAUAUAUAGGCUUCUGCCAAACUGUAACUUCAUUUUCUGAUUCACUUAUUUCAGACACCAAACUCUGUUUUUCUUUAGGAGUAACUUGAACUCUUCAAUUUUCAUGUAUUCUUCUCCCAUUUAUAGAGGGGCAGAGAGACAGUGAUGAGAUCUUGAGCAUUCUUGGUGUGUAGGUUUCUGAAAAUGGGUUCUCAAAACUGGAGAAUGGGGAUGUGUUUCUGGGUGUGUUUGAUUGGUUUCUUGAGCUUCAUUCAUUGUGUGAGUUCAGAAGGAGAGGGAAUAGGAGGAGGCAGUGUUGAAGCUUUGAUUAGAAUUGAUGGGAAAGAAGCCAUUGCGAAAGUUGAUGAAGAUUUUAUCUGUGCAACUUUGGAUUGGUGGCCUCCUGAGAAAUGUGACUAUGGAACUUGCAGCUGGGGCAAAACUUCUCUCCUUAAUUUGGUAUCUUACAUUUUUGUCAUUGCUGUAAAUUAAAGAUUUGAAAUCAUUUAUCUUUUUUAUGAUUUAGGUGCUUCAACAUAAUUGUAUUUACUGUUUUCUUCUGGCUUUCAUGUUCUAUGAUAAAGUUCACCAGUUUGUUAUGAUAAAAAGAAGAAACAUUUUGGCAUUUUGGAAUACUGUUCUGUUCUAAUUGAAUGUUUAUGAGUUAAUUAAGGCCAUGUUUUGAAAGUUAGUCUGAUCAUUUGGAAAAGCUCCAAUGUUCAAAUCUCAAGUAUGAUUUUUGAUCUAAUUUGUUUCUGGAAAUUCCUUUCUGAUAUUUAACUGAUCAUUCUUUUGCAGGAUCUAAGUAAUACUAUCUUAUCAAAUGCCAUAAAAGGUAAGAACUCCUAGAUAUGUGAAUGACAGUUACUUGGUUUAUGAUCUUGCAUGAGCCUAAAACUAACUAAAUUUUGUGCUAAUUGUGCAGCUUUUUCACCAUUGAAACUUAGAUUGGGUGGUACCUUGCAAGACCAAAUCAUAUAUGAUACAGAAGACAAUAAAAAACCUUGCCCCCCGAUUCCUUUUGUUGAAAACAACACAACAUUGUUUGGUGAGAUGUUUGGUUUUAAUGAGGCUUGCCUACCAAUGAAGAGAUGGGAUGAACUAAACUCCUUCUUUCUGAGAACAGGGUAAAAAGAAGAACGCUUUCAUAUGUUUCUUCAUUCAAAUUUGAAGUCCAGAUAUGGUUGAUCUUAUUCCAUGGUAAUGUUUCAAUUCAGGGCUAAGAUUGUCUUUGGAUUAAAUGUCCUCACGGGAAAAACAUUCAAGAAUAAUAUCCCUGCAAUUGGAGACUGGGACUUCACCAAUGCCGAAUCUUUCAUUCGAUACACUGUCAAAAAUAACUACUCUGUUGCUGGAUGGGAGCUUGGUAUGAACAUUGUCACUGUUUUUAUAAAAACUAUGAUAUAAAAUCCUUUUAUUCUUGCCAUGAAUUUGUCUGAAGCUAUAUGAAUGUUGCUUAGGGAAUGAGCUAUGUGGGAAGGGAGUUGGAACGAGCAUAUCAGCAAGUCAGUAUGCCAAUGAUUCAGCUUCUCUGCGUAACAUAGUACAGGAAAUAUACAAGGGUGGUGCUGGACCAAAGCCACUAAUCUUAGCACCUGGAGGGUUCUUUGAUGGACCUUGGUUCAAAGAAGUUGCAGAUAAAAGCACUACAACUUUAGAUGCGCUCACACACCAUGUAUAUAAUCUAGGGCCAGGUAGGCAUUGUUGAUUCUACAAACAGAUUUCAAAACUUCCCUAGUCUCAUGUUUUGGUCUUAAAAUGUUGGCUUGUAUUUUUAGGGGUUGAUAAUAACCUUAUUGAAAAGAUUCUUGACCCGGAGUCUCUGGAUAGUAUGGUGGACACAUAUAGCAAGCUUCAAAACAUCCUGAAGACCUCUGCAACUUCAGCAACAGCAUGGGUUGGGGAAUCAGGAGGUGCUUGGAACAGUGGUCAUCAUCUUGUCACGGAUGCAUUCGUGUUUAGUUUCUGGUAACUUUGCCUUAACAUUUGAUCAGAUCUUCUGUGCUCUCUCUCUCUCUCUCUCCAAUUCCAGGAAGUGAAUACUAAUUUGGAUGUUACAACAGGUAUCUGGACCAGCUUGGUAUGUCUGCAGUUUAUGAUACCAAAACAUAUUGCAGACAGACCUUGGUUGGUGGAAACUAUGGUUUACUCAACACUACUACUUUUGUUCCCAAUCCAGACUACUACAGGUGAUUGAUUGAAUCAUCAUCAUCUUUACUCAACAUCUCAUUUAUCAGGUCAAGUCACAAGUCUUUCUCAUUCUCAUUUCUUUCCUUAACACUCCCGCUGACUUUUGCAUGAUAGUGCUCUUCUUUGGCACCGAUUAAUGGGAAGAAAUGUACUGGCAACGAGGUUUGGUGGACCGAAAAAGAUACGUGCUUAUACACACUGUGCAAAACAAUCUGUAAGUUUACUAAAACUUCAGUACAAGAUCGAGAUGGUGGUGGCGUUUCUUCUAUCUGAGCUAACUACUACUUCAUCUUACAGAAAGGGAUUGUAGUCCUAUUGAUCAACCUACACAACACCACCGUUGUUCAGGCAAGGGUUGCCUUCAACAGUACCUGGAGCUUGCGACAUAGACACAAAUCUCACAAGUCUUAUAGAUCACAUAUGAAGGAACUUAAUGGUCUAAGAAGCAGGGCAGAAAGAGUGAGAGGUGACAGAGAAAGAGAAGAAUACCAUUUGACACCAAAGGAUGGAAAUAUACAGAGCCAAACCAUGCUGCUUAAUGGAAAUGCUUUGAAUCUGGAUUCAUCUGGGAACAUACCUACAUUAGAACCUGUUUUUGUAAAUUCAUCGCAGCCGAUAAUUGUUGCUCCAUUUUCAAUUGUUUUUGUUCACAUACCAUACGUUGUUCCCCCAGCUUGCAGGUAGGUAGUACUAUAUGGGAUCAAAAGGGCUACCAUAUAGUCAUAGCUGAAAAAAGAGAUAGAAUGCAAUUUGAUAAUGUCCAUUUUUGGCUCUCUUAUUUCAAAUGAAGAUACAUUAUGAGUUCAGUGAAUACUGAGGAAUGUGUAUUUAUCCCCUACAAGGGUUAUUGAUAGGACGAAGGCAAUACCGUGAGGUUCUUCUGUGACAAAACUUUGACCUUUUGAAAUCUUUUAUACACGCUGAAGCCUUACACAGCUGUACAAUAUCACAUUUCAUUUAUGUUUGAUACUUUGAUACAUCAUUUGGUGGCCAACUAUGAACACCGAGCCUGGUAACAAAAAAAUACCUAUUAAAUGAGAGAUGAUUACAUACGUGUAGAUUUCAUUCUAGAUGUACAGAAUGCAGCCAAAUACUGACUACUAAGUUGAAUACCGCCUGGAGAAACUAGUAAUGCACUGAAAGAAGAUUCCCUAAAUUUGGAAGCUUCAUUCAAGAGAAAUAAACCAUAGCAUAAAAAGGUCAAUCUCUCUUCGCAAAGGUCUGAGGCUUACUGCUGGCAAACGCCAACCAAACAAUUGUACCAGUCAGGUAGAAAAAUAUUGAUGGAAUGAACAAUGACAUCUGCAUAAUACAAAGUAGGUUGAAAGAUAAACAUCCUGGGGGUUAAACAAUUGAAGGAAAUAUGCUAUUGAUAGAGAUAAAGGAGUUGAAGUGUAAUAAAACAGGCACUUACACUCCAUGAAUGAGUUGAAUCAAGUAGAUAGCCAGUGAGGGCAACACCUACUAUUCCAGGUACUGCCCCAACAGUAUUGGUAAUACCCUGAGUAAAAUAUCUCAACUUAGCAUCCCAAAACGGAUUUAUAAGAAAUCUUAAAUCUGUGAAUUUAAAAUGUGCAGAUAAAGUUUGCAGUGACAUCCUUAAUUAUCAAGUAUGAAACUAGAUGCAGUUUAUCCAUGUUCAGUCUUUUGGCCCACUACUGAUACCAUAUUACCAGCCAUGUUGCCAGACCUAGACCAAAAUGAAUACUAUGGUUCCUUUAAUAUUCAAGUCUGAAGCUACAUGCAGUUUAUCCACAUUUAGGCUUUUGGUCCACUAAGCAUACCAUAUUGCCACACAUGUUGCCAGAAUGCCAGACCUAGACCAAAAUGAUUAUUAUGGUUCCUAUAGUAUUCAAGAGCUUAAAUAGAAGGGCUAGACUUGUUAAUGAGUACUUUUCAGGAAAUUACAUCAAAAUGAUAUCAUUAAAUAAAGCUGCAUAUGAUACAGAAUUCCAGAUAACAUUGUUAAUAUGGAUUAAUUGGAGAGGCUGGUUUAAAUCUAUCAUGCUCAGCAAGAAUGAUUGGAUGCAUAAUUCUAUCCUGCAAAAAAGAUAGAAAUUUGGACUCUGUCACAACAUACCAAAAGUAUGCUUGCAUAUUCAGGUGAUAUAUCUUGAUGAGUACAAUAAAGUCCUGCACAAAUUUAAUGAUGUUAGUUGGGAAUGACAAAUAAUUAAUCCACUUUCCUCCAGAUUAAGGCCCCAGUUUCAAAUAGUUAUGUACCUGAAAUUGCAAAGCUCGAAAGGGCUAAACCAGCAGUGAGUAUCCCCACAACUUCCCAAUGGGGCAAUCCUAGAUCAAGAGAAGAAAGAGUCAUACAAGCUGCAGGAGACAAAAAGGCAAUUGUUUGGCAAAUUUUUCGGACCUACAUGUGCAAAACAAGGUCAUCAGAAACAUUACGACUGAAACUCAAUGUAAAGUCAAGCAUAAUUAUUUAAUGAGUAAACUAAUCAAGUAAAAGUAUGAAUAUCACAGUUAUGAGCUCCUUAUGUAUUUUUAGAAGUAAUAUAAAAUAAAAGAGAAAAAUAAAGCACAACCACCAACUAUAAAAAUGCUGACACAGUUUCCUAUGAGUUUUCUGAUACCAUCUUACAGAACAAAGUAAACAUCUUUGCAAUCUCCAUACCGUAGUGGUUUGAACUCCAUUAGAAAUCAAGUUAUCAGCAAUUUGGGAUGCAAUGGUAUUCACAAAUAUUGAUGCCAAGGGAGGAAGGAUAGAGACCUGAAACAAAUAUAAAUCCAUUGCUAUCAAAACACUGAAUAUAUGAUGACACAAGUAAAUGGUAUUAAUUUACAUUACCUAGUGCAGAAUACAAUGCUAAUGAUGUAUAGUAGUAACUGUUCUAUUCAUUUUCUUUAUUUAUUCCCAUUAUGCAAUUAUGUAGGAUAACUAUACUGCUAGUCCAAAUACCUAAAUGAGUAAACCAAUGACAUUUUACUGGCGAAUAAACUGAGUGACGCCAAGGCAUUUGCGAAAUAAUAUCCCAUAUUCUCACAGAAGAUAAUUACUCUCUGUAUCCAUAGUGGGAUAUGACACCACAUAUCAAGAAUUUGCAGGCAGAAAUGACAAUUCUUUCUUCAGUUGCUAAGAGUUAAAAUAAAGUAAAUACUCACCCAGGCCGCUUCGGUCAAAUUCAGGUUCAGCUCCUCACUGCAUAGCAUGUUUCUUGAAAGUUUAGCUUCUUCAUGAUCACAUGUAUACAUAACACGAAAUAUUAAGUUGUGACAGUUGCAUUAGCAUGAAUGAGCAGGAAGAGAACACUUUUCUUAGAUAAGAGGUCCUUAUCCUGAUGAACAAUAAUGUCAAAGAAAAACUAAGAGAACUAGGACACUAUGUCUCAGCCUCUCAGGUCACCAUUUCUGGGAAGUGCUAUUUAAACUCACAAUUGCUCAAAUCAAAUAUUAAAAAAAUGGAGUAGACAAUAGUUAAAGAGUCACACUGAUGAGAAAAGAAGACCAUACAGCCAUAUUAUUUUUGGACCAAAGUUCACGUAUGGACUGCAUCAAUUACCUAAAAUAAGUAGGCAGCCAUGCUAGGCAUGUGUAAUGACCCCAACUUCCACAAAAAUGAGCAUAUAUCAUUGCCCAAACAGCUUCACUUCGGAAAAAUUCCUUCCACGGUACAUCCUACCAAAUGAAAGCGAGUAAGAAAGCAAGACCCUAUAAUGAUAGCUAUACUUGGUGAGAAGAUAAAACCUAUAGUAAGACUUGAUAGUAAUGUGUAAAUCAAUAGAAUUAUGUUAUUUCUGAAUACGUCUAUCAACGCCAUCUUUACAAUCAGAACUCAUCAGUUAAUGAAGUUCAAUUUUUAGCAAAGGCAUUUGUAUACUCAUUAAUAAAUAGUAAAAAGAGUUCUGUGGCAUACUGCUUAUGCAAGAAAACGUAUCAAACUAUAAAGAGUAAAAAAAAAAUCAUAAACAGCUCAUGAGUGUUGCCCCAAAUGGAAAAAGAUUAUAAAACAAUUAUGUACUCUGAUUUUCUAUGCUCAAAAGGUUUCAAUUCAGGAUGUUAUUUUGUUUUUUCUUUUUCUUUUUUAGAGUAAACUAUUCACAAAUCACAAUGUUUGUGCCUUGGUGGUAAUGCCAUCCAAAAUCUGGCUCUAAACUGAAGCCACAGAAUCAUAAUCUUCAUUGCAGAAACUCUUAACACUGAAUGUUCAACAAACAACCAUGUCUUGCAAACUGGAUGCCUAUAAUGUCCUGAGUUGCACAACAGAAAAAGAAUAAUACCUUCAACGAGUCAGCCAACUCUUUUGGAGAAGUGUUCUGCGCUGUUUUCAAGUCUGACCGGGACCCUACAACCAUUUUGUUGUUUAUAAAGAAGAGUUUUCAUCAUGCAAGAUUGAGAUUUAGUAAUAAAGGUACAGUAUGCGGUGAAAGAAUGAGUUUUAUGAAGCCUUCACAUAUUCCAUGAUAAAAUAAAAUUACUUGGUGCUAUUAACAAAGAAAGAAUGAAACAGCUCCUUCAUACUAAAAGGAAUUCAGAAUACCAAGUCAUCUGUUUGUAUUUUACAUCAGAAAAAAAGUAAAGCUCUGUUUUUCCAAAGAAACAAGAAUGAUGAAGAAAAUAAAUCAAAUGCUUGGGUAGAGUUGACUCACCAACCCAUGAGGGUUGUCCUUCAAGAAACUGAAACCCCACAUACCUGCAAGAUACAUAUAGUGGGAGAGAACAUCAAUUGAAGGCCAUAUUUCUGUGAAACUUCACCAUAACAGUAUUAAGUUGACACAAGAAAAGAGCAUCAAUAUCGAAAUGACCAAGUUUAGAACCCAAAAAAGAAAUGGAGAAGCACGGUUGGUACUUGGCAGAAAUCAUUCUAUUCAGUGGACAGUAAUAACAAGACUUUUUUUUUUUUUUCUUCCUUGUUUUCAAAAAAUAAACAAUAAAACAAGGUUCCUGGAAUAUUGCACAAACAGGUAUUCAUUGUGUAAGGUCAUCAAUUUUGUGAAUUUGAGACAGCUACUUACCAACCUAUCCCCAAAAGGGAAAAUAUGUAAAAGACAGAUUCCCAGCCAAGAUUUUGGAUAAGUGGAGGAGCUAGAAGAAACCUGCAAUGAGUUUAACAUUAAUAAAUAUAGAGUACACAAUAAAUACAGACAUAUAUGUAUCUUUGUGUAACUGUAUCCAAUUUAGAACCGAAAAAAAAAAAAUAGUAAAAAAACCUUCUUUCUACAAUGCAUUAAAAUUUAUGAUGUCAGGAUGGAGAUGAGAUGGUAUCAUUCGAUUUAUUGCAGUCCAGGAAGGUUUAACAGAUAUGCUACAGCAAGGAUAGAUCAUUUGAGGAUUAUGUUACCAAUCAACACACCCGGCUGCUAUAACUUUCUAAUCUCACAUAUAAAUUGAAGUCAUUUCUUUCAAACAUAUACCACAGGAGAAAAAAAAAACAGGGAAAUGAAAUUCUAGUACUUAGCUGUGUAGAUGCUAUUUUAGUGGUCAGUUCUUUAUAUCAAAAUACGUUUGCAAAUCAUACUAACUAGUUUUCGAAUAAAAUAAAUAAACUCUUAUAUACUUGGUUAUAUACAGCAGUACAUACCCUGCAACACUGCCUACACUCAACCCACCAAAGACAAAUGCUACGGCUCGUGACCGCUCUUCCAAAGGUAUUGUUCUGCAUGAAAUAAAAGUGAGUUCGGUUGAGUUCUCUGUAGUAAACAAAUUACAACAAGCAGAAUAUGCAUGCAUGCAUGCAUUGUGUUUCUAUAACGUCAAAACAAGCCUGAUUACAAUAAAUAAAUGUCAAACAUGCCUGGCAAUAAGGUCAGUUGCAGCGGACGGGGAAACACCUUCUCCAAUUCCUACCUGUACUUGGAAGAAAAAGAGCCCUCAAUAAGUAACAGAAAUUAUAGUACAGUAAAAGUCUAAAACCAACAAUAGGUUGAGCAUUAAGCAGAAAAAAGCGUAGAUGUGAUAUUUCAGUAAAAAUACUUCUGUAAUAAAUACGCAUUACAGAUUACAAACAGUUUAAAAUGCUAUAUAUAUAUAGUGCUCAGCAAAAUAGGACUCAUUCAAAAAAAAUUAGCAAUAUAAUUGGCAGUCGAUUAGCAUACCAAAAUUCUUGACACAACUAAACCAGGAGUAAAUCCAGCAACGAAAGGGACAAGUGCUGUAGCCAAUGACCAAGUUAAUACUCCAAUCUCAAGCACUUUUCUGCAUUAGGAGAAGACAAUAAAAGGAGCAUGAGAUUGAUGUCAUGAAAGUGGAAAUUUUCAUCAUCGAACAUUUGCUGCAACAUGGUAAUUAAUUCUAAAUUUGGAAAUUAUUUCAAACUUCUAGAGCUUCAAUAAACAAACCUCCCACCAAAUAUCUUGGCAAGCCAUCCCCCAGGCAAUUGACUCAGAGCAUACCCCCAAAAGAAGGACGACUGAACCAAUCCAGCCACAGAUGAACUCCAACCAAACUGAUGUGACAUUGGGAUUAUAGCAAUACUCAAGUUCACCUGUCAAUUACAAAUAGACCAGAUCAAAAUCUUACUCAUUCCCAUAUGUAGUAGACACAACUCGUACCUCCUCAUCCUCAGAUCCUAACUAACCCAUUCAUCAAUAAGUCAAUAACCGUCGAAAUGUGUUUUCCCUAAAUGAUAACUACAUAACAUGCAAGUCUUCUUUUCCUUAUUGUCCAAGCUCAAACUUGGAUUGUUAUACUUCUCUUACUACCAUCUUUAAGCUUAUUGGCACUUUCAUCUCAAAGCACUAGAGUUAUCAUUGUAAUCUACCUAUGGUAAUAGUAGUCUAGUAUCCAACAACUCACAUUAUACAAAACUGAUACCAAAGUUGCUGACUUUCUUCAACCAAAACUACAUACAUACAAAACCAACAACCCAAACUCUAUGUCAAACCCAGUACUACCCCAAAACUCAACCUGAAAAAUUCAUGUUAUACCUUAUCCAUGUUACAAAUAACAAAGGCCAAUGAAGUUGUGCCAAUGAGCUUAUAUCUCUGAGGUAUGUUCUUCCAGGGAGGCCAGUCCAAAUCAAACCCCACAGACCCACUUUUCUGACCCGACUCGCCUUCAGAAUCCGAACCCGACCCGGCCCGGUGGACCACCUCAUCGCCGGGGAGCCCAUUGACUCUCUUAACGCUCUCCUUCUCCUUAAUGCUGCAAAAGACUCGGAAUUUCAAGCUGGGUUUCGGAGGGAAGCUCAGCAAACGACGGCGUUUCGGUGCUGAGAUGAAAGAUGAGGGCUGUGAGUAGAAAAGGUGGGAGCUUUCUGCUCGGAGAGUGAGUUUGGCCAUUUGGGUGUGGUGGAAAUGAGGUUGGGGAGGUGAAAGGUGGGAGCUUUGGUCUGAAAGCUUGGUGGGUACUUGAAGGGUGGGACUGGUCAGACCAUUGGAGAAGAAGAAGAGUGAAGAAAUGAGCUACUGUGGAAUAGUAACUGGGGCAUUUUGCGCCACGAGAGAGAUUGGGUUUGUGGUUCUGGAUUUGUUUUGAAAAUUUGGGGGUUUUGGUGGGACCCAUGGACUUGAAGGACCCCAAUUCCCAUGGUUUUGGAACCUCAAGUUAAUUGUUUGGUCUUUGGUGUACCUUUCAUUCUUUUACCCUCGAAAGCUUUCAAAAGUUUAACCAUCGAGUUGGUAAGAACUAAAGUAGAACUUUCAUGUCUAGGUUCGAUUAUGCCGACGUUGAUUAGAGUGAACAUUAAUCUUUUCUUAGACGAGUAAGAGAAGGAAACGUUAUGUGGUCUCGUAGCAAAGAUGAAUAUCUAGUAAGACUCGAAAUGAAACUCUCAUAUAUUCUGUCAACGGCUUGAUAGAGUUAACAACUUAACAUCAAUCUAUUCUUGAUGGUUAAAUGGAUAAAACGUUCUGAAUUCUGACAUGAAUCAUAUGAUAUAAAAAUGAAUAUAUGAGCCUAGAAACAAGAAUUUACAUAUAUAGUAUAAUAUUUCAUGUAAAACCCCUCGAUUCCGACCAACCGACAACCAUGGAACCAUUACAAUAAAACGAGUUCGCCCCUAACAAUUACAUAGUCAUUUCGUGUAAAAUGUGACAAUUAGAAUAUCCAAAGAGGAGACCAAGUUGCCGGAAGUUCAUCCAAGUUACCUAAAAAACAAAGAAGUAAAGCUUCUCCGUUGAGCUGGCCAAUGACUUAAUAUUACAUUCUCAUUACAUGCCCACCCUCCUUAUUGACCAGGCCUAAUAAACUAUAGGGCAAAUAUGCAUCAUUGGAGAACAAACUUUGGUUAUAAAAUCACAUCUUCAAUUCUUAGAUCAAUCCCAUUGGAAUAACAGUGACAAACAUGGCUCUCCUUCAUGCUGGUAAUGAUUCAGUGAAGUUGUCCAUGAGUGUCCAGGAGAUGUCCAUGAAAGGUGAUGAACCACCCCCUGAAUAUAUUGUUAAAGAUAGCAAGUUUGGAGCUAUAGAGUCUUCACCAGAAUUGGGUCAAAUCCCCAGCAUUGAUGUCAGUCUCUUCUCCCCAUCAUCACUUGAUUCUAAGCAAGCGAAGAUCGAACUUGACAAACUUAGAACAGCUCUCAGCUCAUCAGGCUGCAUUCAGGUUACAUACAUAUGCUGUUUCUAUGAUGUAUUUCUAUCUAAAUAACUAUAUGAUGAGUUAUUUAUGUCUGUGCAUUGUGUUGAUUUGUUGAACCUGGUUUUCUCAUUUCGGUGGUUGUCAGGCAAUUGGUCAUGGGAUAUCAAGUUCCUUUCUGGACAAGGUACGCGAAGCUGCGACACAAUUCUUUGAACUUCCAGUGGAAGAGAAGGAAAAGUACUCCAGAUCUGUUCAUGGUGGCUCUGAAGGGUAUGGGAAUGAUGUCAUUGUCUCAGAGAAGCAAGUUCUCGAUUGGUCCUAUAGACUAACACUAAGAGUAUUCCCUGAAGAUCAAAGAAGGCUUAAUCUUUGGCCAAAAAAUCCAACUGACUUUGGGUACAUAAUUUCAAACACUACAGAGAAUUUUCUUUUAGUAAAGUCAUUGAAAUAGAACACUAAGAAUACUUAUGUGCAGAGAGGUUGUGCAUGAAUAUGCAACAAAGGUAAAAUAUAUGAUUGGUGUGCUGUUUAAGGCCAUGGCAAAAUCGUUGAAUUUGGAGGAGAACAGCUUUUCAGAUCACUUGUUUGGAGAGGGAGCUCUGAUGCAAGCAAGAUUCAACUUCUAUCCGCGGUGUUCAAGAUCCGAUCAGGUCCUUGGUGUCAAGCCACAUACAGAUAGGUCAGGAGUGACAGUUCUGUUGCAAGACAAAGAAGUGGAAGGUCUUCAACUUUUGGUAGAUGGGAAAUGGGUUAGAGUCCCCAUUGUGCCUCAUGCUAUAGUUGUUAAUCUUGGUGAUCAAAUGCAGGUAACCAAUAAAAAAAGAGAUAACUUAUCUUUCCAAUGUGUUUCAUUGCUUUCAGAUCCAAUCUGAAAUUUCGUACCCGAAUUUUAACACUUUAUGAAUUUUUGCUGCAGAUUAUGAGUAAUGGUAUCUUCAAGAGCCCAAUGCACAGGGUUGUGACAAAUCCAGACAGAAUGAGACUAUCUGUGGCCUUGUUUAAUGAACCUGAUCCUGAAACUGAAAUUAGUCCUGUGGAGAAACUGAUAGUUGAGACAAGGCCACGGUUAUAUAAAACUGUCAAGAAUUAUGGUCGUAUCAACUAUGAAUGCUAUCAGAGAGGAGAGGUAGCACUUGAAACAGUAAAAAUCAGCUAGCUCCCAUAUGAAAGAAGUUGAAUACAUUAAGGUUUGUUUUUGUAUUGACACCUGUUGUUUACUGUGAUGAAUCAUUGCUGUGUAAGCCUAUAAGUUAAUCAUGUAUGAAAGUGAGGUGAGGUGAGGUGUGUAACCAAUUACAAAAGCUUUCAUACGAUUAUAAUAAAAUGCUGCUAGCUGUCGGUGAGCCGUGGCCUGGUUGGUUAAGGUGUUAACUAACAACUUUGAGGUCAUGAGUUCAAACCUCAUUGACAUAUGUAGGGUGUGUGAGUUAUUUAAUAAAAAGUUUUUGAAAAAAAAAAAAAUGCUGCUAGCUCCAGGCUAAAAUAGAUGCCAAGCUGGUUGGAUUGGCUUCUGCAAUAAUUACAAGAGAAGAGACUAUGGUCAGCUUAAUUUUCUGGUUUCAUUUGUCCUGUUAGUGAGCUCUAUGAUUACUUCGAGUAUUUAAUAAUUCUUAUGUAUUUAUAUAUUUUAUAAAUCCUAGUAGACUAUCUGUAAAAAAACCCAUUAUUGGGGAAGACAUGAUGCUUAUAAAACCUAUUAUGAUUCCUUAUCAACCCCAUUGAAGUAUCAAAGAGAAACAUGGCUCUACUCGAUGAUGAUAAUGCCUCGGUGAAGUUGUCCACGAGUGUCCGAGAAAUGUCUAUCAAAGGUGUUGAACCACCCCCGGAAUAUAUUGUUAAGGAAGGCAUCUUUGGAGCUAUAGAGUCUUCUCCAGAAGUAGGCCAAAUCCCUAUCAUUGAUAUUAGUCUCUUCUCCACAUCAUCACAGGAUUCUCCAAAAGCGCAGAUUGAACUUGAGAAACUUAGAACAGCACUCAGCUCAUCAGGCUGCUUCCAGGUUGAUAUCAUUAUCUAAAUGUUCCAAUAUAUUGUAUUCCAUUCUAAGAUAUUGUUGUGCAUCAUUUUUUUGGGUUGUUGAAGUUGUUUUUCUCAUUUGUUUGGUUAUCAGGCAAUUGGUCAUGGCAUUUCAAGUAGCUUUCUUGACAAGUUACGCGAAGUGGCAACAAAUUUCUUUGCACUUCCAGAGGAAGAGAAGCAAAAGAAUCCAGUGGAAGAGAAGAAAAAGCACUUCAAAGUAGCUCAUCGAACUGAAGGAUAUGCUCAUGAGGUCAAAGUCUCAGAGAAGCAAGUUCUUGACUGGGUGUACCGUCUUACUCUUCUAGCAUUUCCAGAAGAUCAAAGAUGCCUAGAUCUUUGGCCAGAAAAUCCAAUCAACUUUGGGUACAUUAACUUUAAAAAUUGUUACAUGAAUAUGCAUUAUAGAUUUCUUUUGUCUCAUAUUGUAGCAGUUACUUAAUUGGUUGACUUUUUGCAGAAAGAUGUUACAUGAAUAUACAACAAAGGUAAAGUUCAUGAUGGAAAUUCUGUUUAAGGCCAUGGCGAAAUCAUUGAAUUUGGAAGAGAACAGCUUUGCAGAUAAGCUGUUUGGAAAACAAGCUCAGAUGACAGCAAAAUUCAACUUCUAUCCACAGUGUUCAAGACCCGAUCAGGUGCUUGGUGUGAAACCACAUACAGAUGGAUCAGGAGUAACAGUUCUGUUGCAAGACAAAGAAGUAGAAGGUCUUCAAGUUUUUGUGGAUGACAAAUGGGUUAGAGUCCCCAUUAUUCCUGAUGCUAUAGUUGUUAACCUUGGUGAUCAGAUGCAGGUAUAUAUACCUAUUACUACUUCAAUUUACUUCUUUGUUAUUCAAAUCCAAUAUGACAUUUCAUAACCAGUUUUUCGUUCUAUAUAUGUAUUCCUGCUGCAGAUUAUGAGUAAUGGUAUCUUCAAGAGCCCAAUGCACAGGGUUGUGACAAAUCCAGACAGAAUGAGACUAUCUCUGGCCUUGUUUAAUAAACCUGAUCCUGAAACUGAAAUUAGUCCUGUGGAGAAAUUAAUAGAUGAGACAAGGCCAAGGGUAUAUAAAACUGUCAAGAAUUAUGGUCGUAUCAGCUAUGAAUGCUAUCAGAGAGGGGAGAUAGCACUUGAAACAGUAAAAAUCUGAUAUAAUUUCUUUUCCUUUGUAAUAAUUUUCCAGCUUUCAUAUGAAAGAAGUUAAAUACAUUAAGGCUGGUUUUUGUAUUGACCUGUUGUUUACUGUGAUGAUUCAUUGCUGUAUAAGGAUGGUAGUUUAAUUUAAUUACCAAGUUAAUCAUGUAUGAAAGUGAGGUGAGGUGUGGAACCAAUUAUCAAAAGCUUGUCUGCGAUUAUAAUGUUGAAGAGACUAUAUGGUCAGCUUAAUUUUCCCACAUUAUGAAUUCAUGUUGCAGAUUAUUAGUAAUGGACUGUUAAGAGUGCAAUGCACAGGGUGUGGUGACAAAUAAUACAGAAAAGUCUAUGUUUAACUUACCAGAUUCUGAAACUGAGAUUGGUCCACUGGAGAGCUUGAUACAUCAUGAAACAAGGCCAAUGUUGUAUAAAAAUGUCAAGAACUAUGGUCGCAUCAACUACAAAUGCUAUCAGAGAGAAGAAAUAGGACUUGAAACAGUAAAGAUGUAAUUUUUCCUUCUCUGUAUAAUUAUCUUUCUAGAAGCUGAAUAGUGAUCAUUAUCAUAGUCUCAGAAUUCUGUUAGUCUCUUUUAUGUAGUGAUCACUAGUCUUUAAACGGCAAAAUCCAACUUCAGACGUCUCAUUUUCACUCUCAAUCAUUGUCCACUUUUGUGUGGGAACAAUUGAUGCAUGGCCUAAAUUUAGCACGUAAUUCAAUAAGAACCCUGGAGAUAAUUUCAUUGCUUUUUGGAAAUCAUGUUAAACAUAUAAUGUUUCCUCUAUUUAAGCUACGCAAUGUCUUAUUUUGUAUAUCAGAUGCAUCACCUCCCUCCCAUUUAAAUUGCAUUAUACAUGGAAAUAUUUAGAGUGCCUCGUCUGUUCUUUCCUUAAUUGUGUAUCUGACAAAGUACUAUAUGCAGUUAUGCAGUUAUGCACCAGACACUUGUGAAGAGUAGUCUGAGUUGUAUACGUAUUCUAGAAUAAUUGCUGAAAACCCCCUAAACCCAACACGUUUUAUGCCACCUCUUGUGUGAUGAAGAACAGAUCAGUAACUUUCCCAAGUUUGGCACAGUAAAGUUGUCUGAGUAUCCAAGAAAUGGCCAUCAAAGGUGAUGAACCACCUCCUGAAUAUAUUGUCACAGAGAGCAAGUUUGGAGCUAUAGAGUCCUCACCAGAAUUGGGUCAAAUCCCCACCAUUGAUAUCAGUCUCUUCUCCCCAUCAUCAAUUGGUACUAAGGAAGCAGAGAUCGAACUAAACAAACUCAGAUCAGCUCUCAGCUCAUCAGGCUGCUUCCAGGUUCUAUAUGCUUUUACCUUAAUUUUACUAGACUAGUUUACAUCAAGUGACCAGGUGAACAUUAAUUUUAGAUAUAUUACUAUAGCAUAAGCUAUAUUUAUCUUUCUUACUGCAUUGUCUUAAUCUGUUGAACUUGGUUUUCCUCCUACUUGAGUUUUCAGGCAAUAGGUCAUGGGAUUUCAAGUUCCUUUCUGGACAAGGUACGCGAAGUUGCAACACAAUUCUUUGAACUUCCAGUGGAAGAGAAGCAAAAAUAUUCCAGAGAAAUUUAUGGUGGGCGUGAAGGGUUUGGAGAGGAUCUCAUUGUAUCAGAGAAACAAGUUCUCGAUUGGUCGUACCGCCUAAUUCUUAAUGUGUUCCCUGAAGAUCAUAGAAAGCUCGAUCUCUGGCCAGAAAAUCCAUAUGAUUUUGGGUACAUUAACUUUAAACAUGGACUACUUAAUUCAUACAUAGUUUUCUUUAGUGAAGUCAUUGACUACUAACGAAACUUUUGUGCAGAGAGGUUGUGCAUGAAUAUGCAACAAAGGUAAAGUGUAUGAUGGGUGUGCUGUUUAAGGCCAUGGCAAAAUCGUUGAAUUUGGAGAAGAACAGCUUUUCAGAUUACAUGUUUGGAGAGGGAGCUCUGAUGCAAGCAAGAUUCAACUUCUAUCCGCGGUGUUCAAGAUCCGAUCAGGUCCUUGGUGUCAAGCCACAUACAGAUAGGUCAGGAGUGACAGUUCUGUUGCAAGACAAAGAAGUUGAAGGUCUUCAGGUUUUGGUAGAUGGGAAAUGGGUUAGAGUCCCCAUUGUGCCUCAUGCAAUAGUUGUUAAUCUUGGUGAUCAAAUGCAGGUAACACAAUAAAAAAGUUACUUAUCUUUCCGAUUUGUUUAAUUGCUUUCAGAUCCAAUCUGAAACUUCGUACCCGAAUUUUAAUACUAUAUGAAUUUUUACUGCAGAUUAUGAGUAAUGGUAUCUUCAAGAGCCCAAUGCACAGGGUUGUGACAAAUCCAGACAGAAUGAGACUAUCUGUGGCCUUGUUUAAUGAACCUGAUCCUGAAACUGAGAUUAGUCCUGUGGAGAAAUUGAUAGAUGAGACAAGGAUAAGGUUAUAUAAAACUGUCAAGAAUUAUGGUCGUAUCAACUAUGAAUGCUAUCAGAGAGGAGAGAUAGCACUUGAAACAGUAAAAAUCUGAUAUAAUUUCUUUUCCUUUGUAAUAAUUUUCCAGCUUUCAUAUGAAAGAAGUUAAAUACAUUAAGGCUGGUUUUUGUAUUGACCUGUUGUUUACUGUGAUGAUUCAUUGCUGUAUAAGGAUGGUUGUUUAAUUUAAUUACUAAGUUAAUCAUGUAUGAAAGUGAGGUGAGUUGUGUAACCAAUUAUCAAAAGUUUGCAUAAGAUUAUAAUAAAAUGCUGUUAUUUCUGUAGCUCCUGCAGCCUAAUAUAGAAGCCAAUUCAACCUGGUUGGGUUGGCUUCUGCAAUAAUAAUUACAAGAGAAGAGACUAUGGUCAGCUUAAUUUUCUGGUUUUUACUUGUCCUAUUAAUGAGCUCUAUGAUUACUAUUCCUUGAGCCCUGAAUAAUUAUUUUUUAUGUAUUUAUUUUAUUAAUCCUAGUAGACUUUGAGUCUUAAGUAAUUAUUUUAUAUUUAUGUAUUUUACAAAUCCUAGUAGACUAUCUGUAUUGGGAAGACAUUGUGCUUAUAAAACCUAUUAUGUUUCCUUAUCAACCCCAUUGGAGUAUCAAGAGAAACAUGGCUAUACUUGAUGAUGAUAAUGCCUCAGUGAAGUUGUCCAUGAGUGUCCGAGAAAUGUCUGUCAAAGGUGUUGAACCACCCCCGGAAUAUAUUGUUAAGGAAGGCAUCUUUGGAGCUAUAGAGUCUUCUCCAGAAGUAGGCCAAAUCCCUAUCAUUGAUAUCAGUCUCUUCUCCACAUCAUCACAGGAUUCUGCGAAAGCGCAGAUUGAACUUGAGAAACUUAGAUCAGCACCAGGGCCAGUCCAAUGUUUUGAAGGACCCGGUGCGAGAAAAAAAUUGGGGCCCUUUGUGUUGAGAAAUAAAAAAACUUGAAAGAACACUGAUUCCAUUUUGAAGCCUCAGCCUCAAUUGCUUUCAAACCUCCAAGCUCCCUUCCUUGUAUUUACAAACCAAUACAAGGAACAAGUUGUUAAAUUUAUUGUGUGUAUAUUCAAUUUAUGUAUAAAAUUGUAGGAAAUCAAAAGAAUACCUUUAGGGAAUAAAACAAGAGAGAUUGAGUGUAUAAACAAAGCCAAUUAAGAGAUAGGAGUUGGGAAAUUUGAAGAUGAAGAUAGGAAGUAUGAGUACUAGGAGGAAACAGAGAGUAGAGAGACGGAGGAACAAUGAUCAAACCGAGGUGAUCAAUAAUUGANNNNNNNNNNNNNNNNNNNNNNNNNNNNNNNNNNNNNNNNNNNNNNNNNNNNNNNNNNNNNNNNNNNNNNNNNNNNNNNNNNNNNNNNNNNNNNNNNNNNNNNNNNNNNNNNNNNNNNNNNNNNNNNNNNNNNNNNNNNNNNNNNNNNNNNNNNNNNNNNNNNNNNNNNNNNNNNNNNNNNNNNNNNNNNNNNNNNNNNNNNNNNNNNNNNNNNNNNNNNNNNNNNNNNNNNNNNNNNNNNNNNNNNNNNNNNNNNNNNNNNNNNNNNNNNNNNNNNNNNNNNNNNNNNNNNNNNNNNNNNNNNNNNNNNNNNNNNNNNNNNNNNNNNNNNNNNNNNNNNNNNNNNNNNNNNNNNNNNNNNNNNNNNNNNNNNNNNNNCCCUUGCCGGCCGGGGCCCUGUGCGGCGGCGCCGCCUUGACCGCCCCAGGGCCGGCUCUGAUCAGCACUCAGCUCAUCAGGCUGCUUCCAGGUUGAUAUCAUUAUCUAAAUGUUCCAAAAUAUUGUAUUCCAUUCUAAGAUAUUGUGGUGCAUCAUUUUGUUGGUUUGUUGAAGUUUGUUUUUCUCAUUUGUUUGGUUAUCAGGCAAUUGGUCAUGGCAUUUCAAGUAGCUUUCUUGACAAGUUACGCGAAGCGUCAACAAAUUUCUUUGCACUUCCAGAGGAAGAGAAGCAAAAGAAUCCAGUGAAAGAGAAGAAAAAGCACUUCAAAGUAGCUCAUCGAACUGAAGGAUAUGCUCAUGAGGUCAAAGUCUCAGAGGAGCAAGUUCUUGACUGGGCAUACCGUCUUACUCUUCUAGCAUUUCCAGAAGAUCAAAGAUGCCUAGAUCUUUGGCCAGAAAAUCCAAACAACUUUCGGUACUUCAACUUUAAAUAUUGUUACAUGAAUAUAUGCAUUGUAGAAACACAAGCCUUUGUUGGUUUGGUUUACUUCAAAUUCUGCUAGUACCAAAACAAUCCCGGGUUCGAAUCCCAGUCUCAGCAAUUUUUUUUGUCCUUGCCUUCGGGCUCCAUGUCAUCAAAAAAAAUAUAUGCAUUGUAGACAUUUUGUUUUGGUCUUUCAAUUACAUUGUUGAUUUUCUGCAGAGAGGUGUUACAUGAAUAUGCAACAAAGUUAAAUCUCAUGACGGCUGUUCUGUUUAAGGCCAUGGCGAAAUCGUUGAAUUUAGAAGAGAACAGCUUUGCAGAUCAGCUGUUUGGUGAACAAGCUUUGAUGACAGUAAGAUUCAACUUCUAUCCUAAGUGUUCAAGACCUGAUCAGGUGCUUGGUGCAAAACCACAUACAGAUGGAUCAGGAAUAACACUUCUGUUGCAAGACAAAGAAGCAGAAGGUCUUCAAGUUUUGGUGGAUGGCAAAUGGGUUAGAGUCCCCAUUGUGCCUGAUGCUAUAGUUGUUAACCUUGGUGAUCAGAUGCAGGUAUAUAUAUAUACCUAUUACUACUUUAAAGGUCCUAGAGGGGGGGUGAAUAGGCCUUUUUGAAAUUUUCGUUGCCUUCUGUAUCCGAGGAUAGCAAUGAUUUGUGCUAUCCUCGAAUCACAGGAUGCGAGUUUGCAGAAAGUAAAUUGCAGCAAAUAAAGAAACAACACAAGGAUGUUUUUUACUCGCAGAAACCCUGAAUGCAGGGAGAAAAACUGCGUGUCUCUAACUCUUGAGAGACAAAAAACUUCCACUAAGUUGAAGUAACUUCUUACAAGAAUAAUAGUUCUAGUGAUACACUACCACAGUGCUAUCCUUCCUAGUCCCGAACUAGUCUAGACCUAUUCCCUCUCUUGUUUCUAAGUUCUUACAACAUGGGACACUUUUUGAAGCCUUGUUCGUGAAUUCAGCUAACCACUAGCAGAUUCAACCUUGAACGCUUCUUGAGUUGGUUGCACUACACAUCCCUCAUGGUAUGCAACAUGAUAUGAGUUGAUGAAAGAAGUUUUGAGUUCAAGCUCUAAGGUUUACAGUCACGAAGAAGACUUAGAGCAGCAUGAACAAUGNNNNNNNNNNNNNNNNNNNNNNNNNNNNNNNNNNNNNNNNNNNNNNNNNNNNNNNNNNNNNNNNNNNNNNNNNNNNNNNNNNNNNNNNNNNNNNNNNNNNNNNNNNNNNNNNNNNNNNNNNNNNNNNNNNNNNNNNNNNNNNNNNNNNNNNNNNNNNNNNNNNNNNNNNNNNNNNNNNNNNNNNNNNNNNNNNNNNNNNNNNNNNNNNNNNNNNNNNNNNNNNNNNNNNNNNNNNNNNNNNNNNNNNNNNNNNNNNNNNNNNNNNNNNNNNNNNNNNNNNNNNNNNNNNNNNNNNNNNNNNNNNNNNNNNNNNNNNNNNNNNNNNNNNNNNNNNNNNNNNNNNNNNNNNNNNNNNNNNNNNNNNNNNNNNNNNNNNNNNNNNNNNNNNNNNNNNNNNNNNNNNNNNNNNNNNNNNNNNNNNNNNNNNNNNNNNNNNNNNNNNNNNNNNNNNNNNNNNNNNNNNNNNNNNNNNNNNNNNNNNNNNNNNNNNNNNNNNNNNNNNNNNNNNNNNNNNNNNNNNNNNNNNNNNNNNNNNNNNNNNNNNNNNNNNNNNNNNNNNNNNNNNNNNNNNNNNNNNNNNNNNNNNNNNNNNNNNNNNNNNNNNNNNNNNNNNNNNNNNNNNNNNNNNNNNNNNNNNNNNNNNNNNNNNNNNNNNNNNNNNNNNNNNNNNNNNNNNNNNNNNNNNNNNNNNNNNNNNNNNNNNNNNNNNNNNNNNNNNNNNNNNNNNNNNNNNNNNNNNNNNNNNNNNNNNNNNNNNNNNNNNNNNNNNNNNNNNNNNNNNNNNNNNNNNNNNNNNNNNNNNNNNNNNNNNNNNNNNNNNNNNNNNNNNNNNNNNNNNNNNNNNNNNNNNNNNNNNNNNNNNNNNNNNNNNNNNNNNNNNNNNNNNNNNNNNNNNNNNNNNNNNNNNNNNNNNNNNNNNNNNNNNNNNNNNNNNNNNNNNNNNNNNNNNNNNNNNNNNNNNNNNNNNNNNNNNNNNNNNNNNNNNNNNNNNNNNNNNNNNNNNNNNNNNNNNNNNNNNNNNNNNNNNNNNNNNNNNNNNNNNNNNNNNNNNNNNNNNNNNNNNNNNNNNNNNNNNNNNNNNNNNNNNNNNNNNNNNNNNNNNNNNNNNNNNNNNNNNNNNNNNNNNNNNNNNNNNNNNNNNNNNNNNNNNNNNNNNNNNNNNNNNNNNNNNNNNNNNNNNNNNNNNNNNNNNNNNNNNNNNNNNNNNNNNNNUGGACCUUGACACAGCUGAUAGCAACUGGUCUUUGAACCAUACAGGGACCAGCUUAUACAUCGGAUAACGUAUCAUGAAAUCCCAGCUGGAGCCUUGAGCAUCAAACCAUUUGGUCACGGGUUGGCAUAAUAAAAGAUCUCAACCCUUUGACUGGUUUGAGCGCUAAAGCACUUCCCACAAACUCAGUUGUCCAUUUGAAAUUAAAAGACAUAUUAUACUAAUAUAACAGACUUUGAAACUCAGUACAGCAGAAGACUCAGUACUAGGAUAGCAAGCGAAGCUGCUAUCCUCUGUGAAAAACAGUGAUAUGCAGAUGCACGUUUUACCUGAAACCAUGAGGGAUAUUAGCGCCACUUGUUCUUGAUCAGAUAACAUUAUCUCAAAGUGUUUUGCAGUAUAAAAGGAUUGCCAACUAUCCUUAUACCUUCAUACUUCAAUGUACUUCUUUGUUAUUCAAAUCCAAUAUGACAUUUCAGAACCAGUUUUGGUGUUAUAUAUGUAUUCCUGCUGCAGAUUAUGAGUAAUGGUAUAUUCAAGAGUCCAAUGCACAGGGCUGUGACCAAUACAGAAAGGAUGAGGUUGUCUGUGGCCUCGUUUAACGAACCAGAUCCUGAAAGUGAGAUUGGUCCAGUGCAGAAACUGAUAGAUGAGGCAAGGCCAAGACUGUACAAGAAUGUCAAGAAUUAUGGUCUCAUCAACUACCAAUGCUAUCAGGGAGGACAAAUAGCACUUGAAACAAUGAAGAUAUAAGUUUUCUUUUCUGUGUUUAUUUGAUUGUGUCAAAACUAUGAAACUUUGAAUCAACUACAAGCCCUGUUAUCAUUUCUUUGUAUUUAUCACCCGUAAUAUCGUAUCAAUAAAAGCUAAUCAAUUUCACUGAUGAAACACUGUCCUUAUUUGUUCAAGCCAAUUCUAACAGUCUCUGCAUAUAUAGGAGCAGAAUGAGAAAUUACAUUUUUACAGCAUCAAGAAGCACUAACCCUUUCUGAUAACUUUGAUAGUUAAAACUCGGUGGCAUAUUUGAUCAAGUACGUUCUCUCUAAAGGGUAUUUCCAAUCUGUCGUAACAUUUUUUAAUCAUGCAUCUGUGAUUCUGUAAAGAGGUUAGGAAGCAUUUCUCCCAAAAUACGUAGCUGAUCAAACUUCAAGUACAAACAAUCUAUCUAGAAACUUGGAAUUGAUGGCUCGCUUAUGACGUAAGCAGAGGUUCUUGGUGAGUCGUGUCGCAAUGUAACUUUCACUUUACAUUAAUAGAUUGACGCCCUCUCGAUUAUUAAAGUUUUAGUUUGUGCUCUUUUAUGAGAAUUGGUCAUUGAUGCAUGGCCUUCAUUCACCUAACUUUCAUUGUUUUUGGAUUCAUGUUAAAAGAUAAUGUUCCCUCCAUUUAAGUACGUAAUCUCUUAUUUUGUACAUCUGAUACAUCACUUCUUUCCAUUUUAAUUGCAUUAUGUGUCAAAUAUUUAGGAUACUUCUCCCCAAAUUGGCUAGGCACUCAUCUUUCCACAAUUGUACUGCAUGCGUAUUGGAUCACUUGUGAACCAUAUUAGAUGAGUUGUAGAUGAGUGGUAUACGUAUUCUAGUGUAAUUACUAGAGAACCCUGUAAACACAAAAAUUCAUGUAACGAAUAACAUAAAGACACGUGUACGAAAUAAUAUAUUUGUAUUGAUUGAAUUUGCGGGUUACAAUCUCUAUGGGUAUUCUUUUAACAAACAUGUCCUCUGAUUCGAUCUCCGACGUUGAUUUGAUCCAAAGGUGACGAGCACUUGAUCUUGAAUUGAGCUGUUGUAGUUUGAACUUGUUAUCGUGUUGACAAUUUGUAGAAGGAAGUUGACCGCCGUAGAGGCUUGAUCUUGGUCGAAUUUGGGCCGCGAGAAGUGUCAUGUGGUGAACGUUCUUCGGCUUGAUAGCGGAUGAAUCGACACGUGUGUUUGGUGCUUGUUGAUUCUCCACGAGCUUGUUGAAGAACUUGGGAAAAGUUUUGAUUUGUUGAAAGGCUUGAAGACGAGGGUUGAUCAAGGGCCGUAGAGGUUUGACAUUGAUCGGGGUGGUUGCUCUUCGUCUUGUAGUUGGUGAAGAUGUCGGCUAUUUGGCAACUUGGGACUCUUCGGGAUUUGACAACUUUUAGGCUUGACGUUGAUGAAGAAUCGGCUAUUUGGCAGCUUGAUGAUUUUUAAAGGUUUUGGGAGAAUUCUGAGCCCUCAGGAGUAAUUUUUCUCUCUUGUCCAGAAGUCCUCCUCUUGAUAUGAGAGGGUGUAUUCAUAGUGUCGAUGUUCCUCCGUAAAUGGAAAUGGAAUGCAUUGAAGUCACAACUUUAAUUGUAUUUCCUUAAUGAUAUAAUUAAAUCAUUCACUUUUGAUUGAUUGAUUCAAUUAUUCAAUUUACCAUAAUUAAAUCAAUCAGUCUUAAUUGAUCGAUUUAAUUAUGACCGAUAAGGUAUUUCACCAAUUUGAUUAAAUUCCGACUUUCUUUUCGAUAAUCGAUUUAAUUUGAUUAAUGUAUGAUUAUCGAUUGACAUUUAAUAUUUGAUUUUAAUCGGGAUUGAUGAUUUUGUUGUCGACCGACCAUUCACAGGCCGCCACGUGUUAUUUCCGAAAACUUUUCAAAUUUGUUGACUCACAAGCCACGUAUGCAAUUUGUCGGGCUCAUACGUUGUAUGAAUAAUUUAAUGAUUAUUAUUCUCAUUAAAUUUUAUGCGUCUACAAACCCCUAAACCUAGAACCUUUUAUGCCACCUUUUGUGUGAUGAAAAAAAUAUCUGAAACUUUCCCAAUCUUGUUGUUUGGCACAGUGAAGUUGUCCGUAUGAGUAUCCAAGAAAUGUCCAUCAAAGGUGAUGAACUACCACCUGAAUAUAUUGUCACAGAAAGCAAGUUUGGAGCCAUAGAGUCCUCACCAGAAUUGGGUCAAAUCCCCACCAUUGAUGUUAGUCUCUUCUCCCAAUCAUCAAUUGGCACUAAGGAAGCAGAGAUCGAACUAAAGAAA